CGGCUAACUCCGUGCCAGCAGCCGCGGUAAUACGGAGGGUCCGAGCGUUAUCCGGAAUCAUUGGGUUUAAAGGGUCCGUAGGCGGGCCUGUAAGUCAGGGGUGAAAGUUUGUGGCUCAACCAUAAAAUUGCCUUUGAUACUGCAGGUCUUGAGUCAUGGUGGGGUUGCCGGAACAUGUGGUGUAGCGGUGAAAUGCAUAGAUAUCACAUAGAACACCGAUCGCGAAGGCAGGUGACCAACCAUGUACUGACGCUGAUGGACGAAAGCGUGGGUAGCGAACGGGAUUAGAUACCCCGGUAGUCCACGCCGUAAACGAUGGAUACUAGCUGUGGGGACUUCGGUCUCCGUGGCCAAGCGAAAGUGAUAAGUAUCCCACCUGGGGAGUACGUUCGCAAGAAUGAAACUCAAAGGAAUUGACGGGGGCCCGCACAAGCGGUGGAGCAUGUGGUUUAAUUCGAUGAUACGCGAGGAACCUUACCAGGGCUUAAAUGCAGGCUGCAUGGGGUAGAGAUACCCCUUUCUUCGGACCGCCUGCAAGGUGCUGCAUGGUUGUCGUCAGCUCGUGCCGUGAGGUGUCAGGUUAAGUCCUAUAACGAGCGCAACCCCUACCGUUAGUUGCCAGCAUGUCAAGAUGGGGACUCUAACGGGACUGCCGGUGCAAACCGUGAGGAAGGUGGGGACGACGUCAAAUCAUCACGGCCCUUACGUCCUGGGCUACACACGUGCUACAAUGGCCGGUACAGAGGGAAGCCACCCCGCAAGGGGGCGCGGAUCUACAAAACCGGUCACAGUUCGGAUCGGGGUCUGCAACUCGACCCCGUGAAGCUGGAAUCGCUAGUAAUCGGAUAUCAGCCAUGAUCCGGUGAAUACGUUCCCGGGCCUUGUACACACCGCCCGUCAAGCCAUGGAAGCCGGGGAGUGCCUGAAGUCCGUCACCGAGGAGGAGC
rnacentral:rRNA from 1 species